ACAUUCAGCUAUAUCACACUGCAGCUCACAACUGGCAGCCCACUGAAGCUCAGCAGGUGUGAGCCUGGUCAGUACCUGGAUGGGAGACCUCCUGGGAAAAACUAAGGUUGCUGCUUGAA
rnacentral:rRNA from 1 species